rnacentral:rRNA from 1 species
UACAGAGGUCUCGAGCGUUAGGCGGAAUCACUGGGCGUAAAGGGCGCGUAGGCGGACAGUUUAGUCAGAGGUGAAAGCCCAGGGCUCAACCUUGGAAUUGCCUUUGAUACUGGCUGUCUUGAGUUCGGGAGAGGUGAGUGGAAUUCCUAGUGUAGAGGUGAAAUUCGUAGAUAUUAGGAAGAACACCAGUGGCGAAGGCGGCUCACUGGCCCGGUACUGACGCUGAGGCGCGAAAGCGUGGGGAGCAAACAGG